AGAGUUUGAUCAUGGCUCAGAACGAACGCUGGCGGCGUGGAUAAGACAUGCAAGUCGGACGAGAUUUUUCGUUGUAGCAAUACGAUGGAAAGUCUAGUGGCGAACGGGUGCUUAACACGUGGGCAAUCUGUCUUAAAGUGGGGGAUAGCUCGGCGAAAGCCGAAUUAAUACCGCAUGUGAUUAGAGUGGACAUCCAUUCGAAAUUAAAGGUGGCGCAAGCUACCGCUUUUUGAGGAGCCCGCGGCCUAUCAGCUUGUUGGUGAGAUAACGGCUCACCAAGGCUUUGACGGGUAGCUGGUCUGAGAGGACGACCAGCCACACUGGGACUGAGACACGGCCCAGACACCUACGGGUGGCAGCAGUCGAGAAUUUUUCUCAAUGGGGGAAACCCUGAAGGAGCGACGCCGCGUGGAGGAUGAAGGUCUUCGGAUUGUAAACUCCUGUCAUUGGGGAACAAGUCGCUUACGUUAACUGCGUGAGCGUUGAUAGUACCCGAAGAGGAAGAGACGGCUAACUCUGUGCCAGCAGCCGCGGUAAUACAGAGGUCUCAAGCGUUGUUCGGAUUCAUUGGGCGUAAAGGGUGCGUAGGCGGCGCGGUAAGUCGGGUGUGAAAUCUCGGAGCUUAACUCCGAAACUGCAUUCGAUACUGCCGUGCUUGAGGACUGGAGAGGAGACUGGAAUUUACGGUGUAGCGGUGAAAUGCGUAGAUAUCGUAAGGAAGACCAGUGGCGAAGGCGGGUCUCUGGACAGUUCCUGACGCUGAGGCACGAAGGUCAGGGGAGCAAACGGGAUUAGAUACCCUAGUAGUCC
rnacentral:rRNA from 1 species